UCUCCGUUGGUGAACCAGCGGAGGGAUCAUUAUCGAGUUUAUAACUCCCAAACCCUAUGUGAGCUUACCACUUGUUGCUUCGGCGCGCGCUUCGGCGCCGCCGAGGACACUUAAACUCUUUGUUUUUAUAAGCAUUUCUGAGUGGCCGAAAGGCAAAAUACAAAUGAAUCAAAACUUUCAACAACGGAUCUCUUGGUUCUG
rnacentral:misc_RNA from 1 species